rnacentral:rRNA from 1 species
AAUCAACGCUGGCGGCGUGCCUAACACAUGCAAGUCGAACGAGAAAGUGGGGGCAACUCCAUGAGUACAGUGGCAGACGGGUGAGUAACACGUGAACAAUCUACCCUCGAGUGGGGAAUAACACCGCGAAAGCGGUGCUAAUACCGCAUAACAUCUCCGGAGCGCAUGACCUGGAGAUCAAAAGCGCAAGUUGCUCGAGGAGGAGUUCGCGCCUGAUUAGCUAGUUGGUGAGGUAACGGCCCACCAAGGCAACGAUCAGUAGCCGGCCUGAGAGGGCGAACGGCCACACUGGAACUGAGACACGGUCCAGACUCCUACGGGAGGCAGCAGUGGGGAAUUUUGCGCAAUGGGCGAAAGCCUGACGCAGCAACGCCGCGUGGAGGAUGAAGGCCUUCGGGUCGUAAACUCCUGUCAGUGGGGACGAAUGCUUCGCAAGAAGUUUGACUGUACCCGCUGAGGAAGCCACGGCUAACUCCGUGCCAG